AUGUCCAUUGAAGCCAUUUAUCCUGAGCCUGCCAAGGAGCCUCCUAGUCUUCAGAAUGCGGAGCAUGAAAGUUUCUCUCAGAACAUUGAAGGAGUUGAAGCAGUCACUCGUGUUUAUCCACUGGAUGGAAAUACACGUGCACCUCAUCGUGCCCUUACUGAAGCCACCGAAAGCACUAUUGCCCAACGACCCAAGAACCGAUCUCGUGUUCUCAACGACCGAGAGCUUCUGGUGGCUCUUCAUCAGAAACAUGAUAGGCAUCAUGACUGGCUGAAGCACCAAAUGCAAAGCCUCUUGGUGGAUGUUAACCGUAUUCAUAAUCUUGCCACCAAGAAUGCCUUUGUUGCCCAUGAAACCUCUCGACGCACAUGGAAAGGGCUGACGCUUAUGUGCUCUGAAGAUGAUCUUUAA
rnacentral:rRNA from 1 species